rnacentral:rRNA from 1 species
UACGUAGGUGGCAAGCGUUGUCCGGAUUUACUGGGCGUAAAGAGUGCGCAGGCGGUCGAUCAAGUCGCGUGUGAAAGCCCCCGGCUCAACUGGGGAGGGUCACGCGAUACUGAUCGACUCGAAGGCAGGAGAGGGUAGUGGAAUUCCCGGUGUAGUGGUGAAAUGCGUAGAUAUCGGGAGGAACACCAGUGGCGAAGGCGACUACCUGGCCCAUUCUUGACGCUGAGGCGCGAAAGCUAGGGGAGCAAACGGG